UGAGCCAUCCAGGUGCCCUAAUUUUGAAUUUCAGGUAAAGAAUGUAUUUCUAGUAUAUGUACCCCAUGCAAUGUUUGGGGCAUACAUGCAUUAAAAAGAAAUCGUUUGUCUGAAAUCCUAAUGUAUCUGGAGUUCUGUAUUUUAUCUGGUAACUCCAAUGUUGAUUUCCAUGCUUCUUCCUUCAGAUGCUAAUCCAGUGGAUUGGGAAGUGGUGGGGAGCCAGAUCUAAGCAUUUUAACAGUUGCUUCCAGAUGAUUCCAGUGUGAAUCAUCCUGAACCGCAUUGAGAAAUGUCAGUUAAGACUAGGAUAGAGAGCUUCCUGGAGUCCCUGGGAAGCUGAGGCUGGAGUUUGACUCCACCUGGGAGUUCUGGAAAUGAGACAGUGGUUGACCAACAACUUAGUCUCUGGAAUGUGUACAGUUUGUGCAGUAUGGUUUGCACAGGGGACCCACCCAUGGGCUUUCCUGGAGGAGGCAAGGGGACCCCCAAGGAAAGAGGCCAGGAUAUGCUACCAGGCCUAGGGGCUGCAGGAGAAAGGAGGCCAGCAGGGAGCCAUGGAAGAGCCCAUGAAAACACCACCCUAAGAGUCAGCAAGGAAUGCCUCCUAGGCCCAGAGGUCAGGAAGCUGAUGUUUGGGCUAGCUCACCUUUAUUUGCACACUCUCCCCAACUUUGAUCCCUGCCAGGAGUGAAAGAGCAGCUCAAGAUGGGGGAAGAUGAGCAGAACCAGAGGGAGAGAUACCAGGAGUACGUGUCCACAGAGAGAAGACCAUGUGAAGAGGCAGCAAGAGGGUGGCCAUCUGCACACCAAGGGGAGAUGCCUGGAACAGACUCUUCCAUUAUCGCCCUCAGAAGGAAACCAAUCCUGCUGACAAACUUGACCUGGGACUUCGCCUCCAGAACUGAGAAAUUUCUGCUGUUUAAGCCACCCAACAGAGUUCAAUGUGGCCACCGACCUGCCUUUUCAAACUCAUCAUUGUUACGAUUCCAUGAAUUGUUUGAAGUCCAGGAAGGUGAGUUCCCAUGGCAAGUGAGUAUCCAGAUCUCACGGAAACACCUCUGUGGAGGCUCAAUCAUACAUCAGUGGUGGGUUUUGACAGCCGCACAUUGCUUCCCAAGAACCCUGUUAGAAGUGGCAUUGGGAAAUGUUACUGUGGUCAUGGGAACCAGAAUAUUCAGCGAUGCCCGCUUGGAGAGAAAGCAAGUGCAGAAGAUAAUUAUUCACAAAGAUUAUAAACCAUCCCACCUUGACAGUGAUCUCUCCCUGCUCCUGCUUGCCACACCAGUAAAAUUCACUAACUUCAAAAUGCCCAUCUGCCUGCAGAAGAAGGAAAGGAUCUGGGACAGAUGUUGGAUGGCAGAGUGGGUGACAGCUUAUGAAUAUGACCAACAUGACAACUUAAACAUGUACCUGCAGAAGAUGAGAGUGCUGCAGAUUAGCUGGAGAGAAUGCAGCAAGAGGGUAGAUAAGCUCUCCAGGAACAUGGUUUGUGCUUGGAAGGAACCAGGCACCAAAGGCAAUUGCCAGGGGGAAAGUGAAUACUCUGGGGGAAAAAAGAAUACUCAGAUCUUUCAAAGCCUGUUGGAUAAGUCAUCGGAGAUGAUACUGUUACUAGGGACCCAAAAUGUCAUUAUGGCCUCCCUGUUAUAGUCCUGGCCAAGUCUGAGUCAAAGUUCUUUCAGAGCAUGGCUAUGGCUGAUCACUACUGACAUCCAGGAGGUACAAACUACUGGGAGGAUUACCACCAGCAGUACCUGAGCAAGAACCCCAAUGGUCACUGAGGAACGCCAGCUGAGGACACUGUGAGAAGUUGGCCAUGUGCAAGCCAGGAAGAGGGCCCUCACCAGGAACAGAAUAAUCUGGCACCUUGAUCUCAGACUUCUAGCCUCUAAAACUGGCUGGCCCUUGAGAUCACAGCAGAAACGCUUUCAACAAACUGGGCAAGUCUUUUGUGGUUCACAUCAGUGGCUUUUCGAAGUGUACAAAGUAUAAAGUCGUUUUUAAAAGUCUGAUUUAAAAGUA